rnacentral:rRNA from 1 species
GACGUAGGGCGCGAGCGUUGUCCGGAUUUAUUGGGCGUAAAGAGCUCGUAGGCGGCUUGUCGCGUCGUCCGUGAAAACUUGGGGCUCAACCCCAAGCUUGCGGUCGAUACGGGCAGGCUCGAGUUCGGUAGGGGAGACUGGAAUUCCUGGUGUAGCGGUGAAAUGCGCAGAUAUCUGGAGGAACACCGGUGGCGAAGGCGGCGUCCUGGACCAACACUGACGCUGAUGAGCGAAAGCCAGGGGAGCAAACGGG